ACGCUCGACACCUACGGGAGGCAGCAGUGGGGAAUAUUGCACAAUGGAGGAAACCCUGAUGCAGCGACGCCGCGUGGAGGAAGAAGGUCUUCGGAUUGUAAACUCCUGUUGUUGGGGAAAAAGAGGAUGGUACCCAACAAGGAAGUGACGGCUAACUACGUGCUAGCAGCCGCGGUAAUCUGAGCGGGCUGGCAAGGC
rnacentral:rRNA from 1 species